rnacentral:rRNA from 1 species
GUGUCAGCAGCCGCGGUAAUACGUAGGUGGCAAGCGUUGUCCGGAAUUAUUGGGCGUAAAGGGCGUGUAGGUGGAUGAUUAAGUCUUGUGUCUAAGUGCGGAGCUCAACUCCGUAUGGGCGCGGGAAACUGGUUAUCUUGAGUGCAGGAGAGGAAAGUGGAAUUCCCAGUGUAGCGGUGAAAUGCGUAGAUAUUGGGAGGAACACCAGUGGCGAAGGCGACUUUCUGGACUGUGUC